UUCCUCCUUGGUGGAGUUUUCCCCAGUGACCCUAGAACCUUCUGGUACAGCAUCACAUGCUCCAUGCAGUUAUAUUCAGCUAGUGGGAAGGCUGUCAUCCAAUAUGUUGAUGGUACUGUGUUGUCUAUCAUAUUUCAAACAUCUGAAACUACAAAACUAAAGAACAGAAUGUCUUCGUUUCCCCAUUUAUCAUUUCUGCUCCCAUAGGAUCUGUCAUUGCAGAAUUCAUUUUCAAAGUGAGCUUAUACAUCUUCAAACGCAGUCAUUACAGGCACCUGGGGGAGCUAGAUGGAGACACAAAAAACAGAGAAAAACAGGAGAAGCAACAGCUCCAGAGUGUGAUUGGAGAUGUAGCACCUGUGGAGGCUGAACUAGGAG
ensembl:lncRNA